AACGAACGCUGGCGGCAUGCCUAACACAUGCAAGUCGAACGAGACCUUCGGGUCUAGUGGCGCACGGGUGCGUAACGCGUGGGAACCUGCCCUUAGGUUCGGAAUAAUUCCCCGAAAGGGGUGCUAAUACCGGAUAAUGUCUUCGGACCAAAGAUUUAUCGCCUUUGGAUGGGCCCGCGUUGGAUUAGCUAGUUGGUAGGGUAAAAGCCUACCAAGGCGACGAUCCAUAGCUGGUCUGAGAGGAUGAUCAGCCACACUGGGACUGAGACACGGCCCAGACUCCUACGGGAGGCAGCAGUGGGGAAUAUUGGACAAUGGGCGAAAGCCUGAUCCAGCAAUGCCGCGUGAGUGAUGAAGGCCUUAGGGUUGUAAAGCUCUUUUACCCGGGAUGAUAAUGACAGUACCGGGAGAAUAAGCUCCGGCUAACUCCGUG
rnacentral:rRNA from 1 species